rnacentral:rRNA from 1 species
CCUACGGGGGGCAGCAGUGGGGGAUAUUGCACAAUGGGGGAACCCUGAUGCAGCGACGCCGCGUGGGCGAUGGAGUACUUCGGUAUGUAAAGCCCUAUCAGCAGGGAAGAAAAUGACGGUACCUGACUAAGAAGCCCCGGCUAAAUACGUGCCAGCAGCCGCGGUAAUACGUAGGGGGCAAGCGUUAUCCGGAUUUACUGGGUGUAAAGGGAGCGUAGACGGCAGCGCAAGUCUGGAGUGAAAUGCCGGGGCUCAACCCCGGAACUGCUUUGGAACCUGUGCAGCUAGAGGGCGGGAGAGGUAAG